CCUACGGGAGGCAGCAGUGGGGAAUAUUGGGCAAUGGGCGCAAGCCUGACCCAGCGACGCCGCGUGCGGGAUGAAGGCCUUCGGGUUGUAAACCGCUUUCAGCAGGGAAGAAGCGAAAGUGACGGUACCUGCAGAAGAAGCACCGGCUAACUAUGUGCCAGCAGCCGCGGUAAUACAUAGGGUGCAAGCGUUGUCCGGAAUUAUUGGGCGUAAAGAGCUCGUAGGUGGUUCGUUACGUCGGAUGUGAAAACCUGAGGCUCAACCUCAGGCCUGCAUUCGAUACGGGCGAACUGGAGUGUGGUAGGGGAGACUGGAAUUCCUGGUGUAGCGGUGGAAUGCGCAGAUAUCAGGAGGAACACCAAUGGCGAAGGCAGGUCUCUGGGCCACUACUGACACUGAGGAGCGAAAGCGUGGGGAGCAAACAGGAUUAGAUACCCUGGUAGUCCACGCUGUAAACGGUGGGCACUAGUUGUGGGAACCUUCCACGGUUUCUGCGACGUAGCAACGCAUUAAGUGCCCCGCCUGGGGNGACGANCGCAGAUAACUACGAAGAGUAGNGNGNGAGACGNGCGAGCGACGACGAGGGAGAG
rnacentral:rRNA from 1 species